rnacentral:rRNA from 1 species
CUAGCCGUAAACGAUGGAUGCUAGGUGUUGGAGGACUUAACCCCUCCUGUGCCGAAGCUAACGCGUUAAGCAUCCCGCCUGGGAAGUACGAUCGCAAGAUUAAAACUCAAAGGAAUUGACGGGGACCCGCACAAGCAGCGGAGCGUGUGGUUUAAUUCGAUGCUACACGAAGAACCUUACCCAGGUUUGACAUACUAGUAGUAGUGAACCGAAAGGGGAACGACUCGCAAGAGAGCUAGUACAGGUGU